CCUACGGGUGGCAGCAGUGAGGAAUAUUGGUCAAUGGCCGGAAGGCUGAACCAGCCAAGUCGCGUGAGGGAAGAAGGUUCUAUGGAUUGUAAACCUCUUUUGUCAGGGAAUAAAGGUAUCCACGUGUGGCUAUUUGCGUGUACCUUAAGAAUAAGCAUCGGCUAACUCCGUGCCAGCAGCCGCGGUAAUACGGAGGAUGCGAGCGUUAUCCGGAUUUAUUGGGUUUAAAGGGUGCGCAGGUUGUUUUUUAAGUCAGCGGUUAAAGUCUGGGGCUCAACCACAGCAUUGCCGUUGAAACUGGCAGACUUGAGUGUGUGAGAGGUAUGCGGAAUGCGUGGUGUAGCGGUGAAAUGCAUAGAUAUCACGCAGAACUCCGAUUGCGAAGGCAGCAUACUAGGCCAUAACUGACGCUGAGGCACGAAAGCGUGGGGAUCGAACAGGAUUAGAUACCCUUGUAGUC
rnacentral:rRNA from 1 species